UCUAGCAGCGUCCGCAGAGCGGCAAGUGGAUCUCGUGUGUGGCCAGCCCUUCGCAGUCUCAGCAUAAAAGAAUUUGGCUAACAUUUAGGAAUCCGCCUAAUGAAAGGCUAUCUUGUUAAAGCUCCGCUAGCCAGAGGAUGAGUCUGCGUCUCCCUUUCCCACUUCCUGGAUGGCUCUGUGUGAUGCAUAGCAAUGACUCCAUCAUGUCUGCAUCAUGGGACACCGCCCGGGCCCUGGACAAUAAGCUGGCUUUGUGACUUUGGAACACACACCUCUUUGCCGUGAAUCCCGACCCGUUUCCACCAUGCAACUUAUUUCGCCCAUCAUAGCAUGCAGCGAUGUUGCAUAUUCACUACACAGGGUCACAGGUAAUCAGUUUGAUUUUACCCAGAAUGUAUGAAAGAAUGAAAAGACAGAGGGAGAUAGCUGAAGCUUGCAAAUAUUUCUCUCCUUGUUCUUCUCUCUAGAAAGGUCACACCUCGCCUUUAACAGGAGGUGAACAAGGAAGACACCAACAGACAUACCAACAUGGGUAGAGAAAAGCCCACAAGGCUUCAACCCUACAUGAAAUCUACAAGCAACUAAGAAAUGCUGAGAGCAGGAGAAAUCACCUUCCCCAGGGAAGAGCACACCAAUUGGUUAUUCAGUUCCAAAUGGUCAUCCCUGCAAACAUACAAAAAAAUAGCGUUAGGCUGAGAGAGCAGGUUGUGUUCACAAUCAUAUAUGUAUUCCAAAUGUAUACACAUGUGCACUAGUAACAGCCAAUGAAAUAAGAAGCCAGGAACUUGAAAAACAGUAAGAAGGGACAUAUGGGAAGGUUUGGAGGGAGGAAAAGGAGGAGGAAAUGUUGUAAAGGUGCCAAUUUAAACUCAUCAAACUCAUCACUUUCAAGUGGCAGAAUGGCCUGAAAUUGAAUGGAAAGAACACAAACAAUGAUGAAUAAAUACUAAUAAGAAGAGUGCCAUGCAUGCUGUAUCUUGCCACCACAAAAUGUCUUAAGAAGCAAGUAUGAAGAUUAAAAAAAACUAAAUAUAUACAUAUUCAAUGAAGAGCUAGAACACUUCACUGGAAAGACUGGACUGUUCCUCAGAAACUCUUUGGUAAAUAGAAUUUAGCCAGAAACAGCUUUAUCUUUCACUUUUAAAUUUCAUUUUAUGAAA